rnacentral:rRNA from 1 species
UACGAAGGGGGCUAGCGUUGUUCGGAAUUACUGGGCGUAAAGCGCGCGCAGGCGGUUCUUUAAGUCAGGGGUGAAAGCCCAGAGCUCAACUCUGGAAUUGCCUUUGAAACUAGAGAACUUGGGUACGGGAGAGGUGAGUGGAAUUCCGAGUGUAGAGGUGAAAUUCGUAGAUAUUGGGAAGAACACCGGUGGCGAAGGCGGCCAUCUGGACCGCAACUGACGCUGAGGCGCGAAAGCGUGGGGAGCAAACAGG